rnacentral:rRNA from 1 species
GAAAGCGAGCCUGAAUAGGGCGCACAGUCAGUGGGGGUAGACGCGAAACCAAGUGAUCUACACUUGCCCAGGUUGAAGUCCGGGUAACACCGGAUGGAGGACCGCACGGAUAAGCGUUGAAAAGCUUCCCGAUGAGGUGAGUGUAGGAGUGAAAGGCCAAUCAAACUUGGAGAUAGCUCGUACUCCCCGAAAGGCAUUUAGGUGCCGCGUGCAUCGAUUUCCAUAAGAGGUAGAGCGACCGAUAGGUCAAGAGGGCUUCACCGCCUAUCGAGACCUGACGAACUCCGAAUGCUUAUGGACAGCAGAUGUGCAG